GGGCUAGUACUGGUUUCGACAGGGGUUUUGAAGUUGGAGAAGCUAUCCGUAGAUGAUGCGUUAAAUCAUACAAUUAAAAUUAAACGCUGAAGAUAAUUUAGCUUACGCUGCCUAAUUAAUGGCAGCUGUCAAUACAAGGUUGCCUGCGGCCCUGAUAUUGGCAUCGACUUUAGCAGGAAACUCUGAUUGCUAAGCUUUGCGCUUUCAGUGAUUUUAUGAAGCUACCAAGAGCAAAACGGUGUUAGUUCCGGUUUGUUUAAGGGAAUGUUAAAUAACUGACUAUGAUAGAAGAAGUACAAUGGAGAGGCUUUUGGACACGGGUUCAACUCCCGUCUAGUCCACUA
rfam:Eubacterium sp. CAG:156 genomic scaffold, scf270